CCCUCCCUCACAUUUCGCCGCUCCCCCUCCGCUGCCUUUUCGGCUCCCUGGGGUUCCCCCGCCCACCUUUUGGGGUCCCCUUCGCACACUUUAGGGGGGACCCCCAAGUGACGGGGCGGAGGGCGGGACGCGGAGUAAACCCCGGGGUGCCCAAGAAGAGUUGUAUUUCUCUUUCAUUUCACUUGUUAUUUUAUUGCCUUUUUAGUUUGCUCGCUUUUAUUUUUUUCUUUAAUGUUCUUUUGUAUUUUUCUAUUUCCUUCUUUAUUUCCUUAAUUUUUUAUUCUCUUUAUUUUUCAUUUUCUUUUCUUUCUCGUUUGGUUUUUAUUUUUUUAGUUCUUAGUCCUCCAGAGAGGAAGAAAGAACACUGCAGCUCCUCUGGGCCACAGAAAGGCUCCCCUGCCCUUCCCUUAAACACAACGCCUGCCAGGAGGGCCCCGCAAGCCCGCUCCGCUCCUGCCAGGCACCGGGGCUCACCCCCAGGGGGGCUUUGCCAGCACCCAGUGGAAAUUCAAAUUACAGCCUGGGCAGGAAAUUCAAAGUACAGGCCGGCAGGACCGCGCCUGGCCAAGGCCACCGGUCCGUGCAAGUCAGACCACCGACCACCCGGGGCUGGGGACUUCGGGGGCACGCUUCCAGCUUUUAUUCUCCAGAGACUCCAGUUCUUCCUGGCACCCCUUGCUUCAGUCUUCGCCUGCUGGAAGAGAUCACACAGUCUUUUUGGGGGGCAGAUUGCCAAAGCCCGGCCGGUCCAUUCUCACGAGGAAAGAAAAACUGACACAAAUCUCCCCAAAAAAACGGCCAGAAACUGACACAAAUAUCCCCAAAAAAUUGGCCAGAAACUCACCCAGAUCUCCCCAAAAAAUGGCCAGAAACUGACAAAAAUCUCCCUAAAAAAUGACUCAAAACUGACAAAAAUCUCCCCCCAAAAUGGCCAGAAACUAACCCAAAUCUCCCCAAAAAAAAUGGCCAGAAACUGACAUAAAUCUCCCCAAAAAAAUGGCCAGAAACUGACAAAAAUCUCCCCCCAAAAAUGACCCAAAACUCACCCAAAACUCUCCACAAAAACGGCCAGAAACUUAAAAAUCUCCCCAAAAACAUGGCCAGAAAAUCACCCAAAUCUCCCCAAAAAAAUGGCCAGAAACUCACCC
ensembl:lncRNA